rnacentral:rRNA from 1 species
GACGAACGCUGGCGGCGCGCCUAACACAUGCAAGUCGAACGAGAGAGAGGAAGCUUGCUUCCUUAAUCGAGUGGCGAACGGGUGAGUAACACGUGGAGAACCUGCCCCCUCCCCCGGGAUAGCCGCCCGAAAGGACGGGUAAUACCGGAUACCCCGGGGCGCCGCAUGGCGCCCCGGCUAAAGCCCCGACGGGAGGGGAUGGCUCCGCGGCCCAUCAGGUAGACGGCGGGGUGACGGCCCACCGUGCCGACAACGGGUAGCCGGGUUGAGAGACCGACCGGCCAGAUUGGGACUGAGACACGGCCCAG